rnacentral:rRNA from 1 species
CCUACGGGCGGCAGCAGUGAGGAAUAUUGGUCAAUGGACGAGAGUCUGAACCAGCCAAGUAGCGUGAAGGAUGACUGCCCUAUGGGUUGUAAACUUCUUUUAUAUGGGAAUAAAAUGUUCCACGUGUGGGAUUUUGUAUGUACCAUAUGAAUAAGGAUCGGCUAACUCCGUGCCAGCAGCCGCGGUAAUACGGAGGAUCCGAGCGUUAUCCGGAUUUAUUGGGUUUAAAGGGAGCGUAGGUGGAUUGUUAAGUCAGUUGUGAAAGUUUGCGGCUCAACCGUAAAAUUGCUGUUGAAACUGGCAGUCUUGAGUACAGUAGAGGUGGGCGGAAUUCGUGGUGUAGCGGUGAAAUGCUUAGAUAUCACGAAGAACUCCGAUUGCGAAGGCAGUUCACUGGACUGCAACUGACACUGAGGCUCGAAAGUGUGGGUAUCAAACAGGAUUAGAUACCCCAGUAGUC